rnacentral:rRNA from 1 species
AUUGAACGCUGGCGGCAGGCCUAACACAUGCAAGUCGAGCGGAGGAAGGGAGCUUGCUCCUGGAUUCAGCGGCGGACGGGUGAGUAAUGCCUAGGAAUCUGCCUGGUAGUGGGGGAUAACGUCCGGAAACGGGCGCUAAUACCGCAUACGUCCUGAGCGAGAAAGUGGGGGAUUUUCGGACCUCACGCUAUCAGAUGAGCCUAGGUCGGAUUAGCUAGUUGGUGGGGUAAAGGCCUACCAAGGCGACGAUCCGUAACUGGUCUGAGAGGAUGAUCAGUCACACUGGAACUGAGACACGGUCCAGACUCCUACGGGAGGCAGCAGUGGGGAAUAUUGGACAAUGGGCGAAAGCCUGAUCCAGCCAUGCCGCGUGUGUGAAGAAGGUCUUCGGAUUGUAAAGCACUUUAAGUUGGGAGGAAGGGCAGUAAGUUAAUACCUUGCUGUUUUGACGUUACCAACAGAAUAAGCACCGGCUAACUUCGUG